GUUUGUCAGAUGAAUCAACAAGUUGGUUGGUAACUGGUUAGAGUUAGAUAAAGAUCCUAGUUUGGGUUAAAAUAACCACUUGGUUGAGGCUGGGGGACGUUUGUGAUAAUGGUUAGAAGAAACAAACAUUGACUGUCAGGAAAAAUUAAAAACAAUGAGUUAUAACAGAGCAGAAUGAUCCAAAGUGUAGUAGAUGUUUAGUGCACUGGGACAUGCCUCUGCUCAACACAUACAGUACAUAAACACAAGCAUACAACAUGUAUGUAAGCCCUCAUACACACAUGCAACACACACAACAGCAGGUACAGUAAGACCCAGCUCUGUUCAUGAAGCCCCAGCUGACAACUUAUCCAAUUACGACCGCAGAAACACUGGUUACAAGGGAGUCAACUCUGAAAUUGCCUGGUGUGAUUCAAUGUGGCCCACGCUAUGUGUAAAAUUGACAGUGUGAUUUCUGACUGGGUUCCCAGCAGAGAUUACCUCCCACAGGACGCUGCUGUUUCAGAACCCCGGGCUGCAUGCCAGACGAGGAAGGUGAAUGUUGGAGCCUGUUUGCUUCUACGGCAGAAAUCUCUGGUGAAAGCCUCUUUAAAGCAGAGUGUGCUGGAGUCAGAGCAGAGUCACAUCAGCUGCACCUCAUCUCAGUAAUCAAGCCCUCUUCAAAUACUCAGCCCUUUCACUUCCCGUCUGGCAGAUCGUAGCCUCUGCAUCAGUCAGUCUACACUUUGAGCCAGUUUUCACACGUACCUGUUUUCUUGCUGUUACCUGUUUUUCACUUUCCUAUCGCUGUCUCCUUUUCUCUGGCAGUUCCAUCUGCUCAGUCUCCGGCCCCUGUCUCCAGCCCCUCAUAUCGUCUCAUCAACCCUCCUUCCCUGCCCUGGAUCCUGCCAUGUUCCCAGUUUUCAGCCCAAACCUCAACCCCAGGUUUCCAGCUUCCAGCCUAAGCCACAGCCCCAGUUCCCCAGUUACCAGCCCAAGCUUGCCCAGCGGUCCUCACUUCCUGUGCUGCAGCACUCCAGGGAGGACUCCUGGUCCUGCACUCCAGCCACUGGCCUUCAGUCCUGCACCACAGCCGUCUGGUUGACCUCCAAAGUGGCUUUGCUCAUCUGUCCUGACAUCUGGUCGACCUCCAGAUUGGUCCUGCCCAGUCACAGGUCUCGAGAGCAGCGCUACCUACAUCGCCAGCUUCCAAGUCAUGCUCCAGAGCUGCUCCACCUGUCUGGUUCAACUCUGGAGCGACUUUGCUGAUCUGUCCUGCCCCCUGGUCACCCUCUAGAGUGCAAACGGCCAUCUUUCCUACCUUUUGGUCGCCCUCCUGAGCGACUCCGCCUGUCUUUCCUGCCUCCUGAUCACCCUCCAGAGUGACACUGGCCAUCUGUCCCACCUUCCGGUCAUCCUCCCGAGCGAUACAACAAGAUAUGGAGAUACAUGGAGCUCUUUGUUCAGCGGAUCAGUUAGAAAUAAUGCAGGGAGGAAUAUUAAA